CGAACGAGAAACUUUGACUUCAAUCCUUCGGGAGAGAAGUCGUUGUGGACAGUGGCGAAAGGGUGAGUAACGCGUGGGUAAUUUGCCUUUAUGUCGGGGAUAGCUUCUGGAAACGGGAGGUAAUACCGGAUGUGGUCGCUCUGGACAUCCAGAGUUGUCUAAAGGUGGGGAUUCUUCGGAACCUGCCGCAUGAAGAUGAGCCCGCGUCCCAUCAGCUUGUUGGUAGGGUAACGGCCUACCAAGGCAGAGACGGGUAGCUGGUCUGAGAGGAUGGUCAGCCACACUGGGACUGAGACACUGCCCAGACUCCUACGGGAGGCUGCAGUCGAGAAUCAUUCGCAAUGCACGAAAGUGCGACGAUGCGACGCCGCGUGUAGGAUGAAGGCCUUCGGGUUGUAAACUACUGACAUGAGGGAAAAACAGCUCGGGUAUUAAUACCACCCGGGUCUGAUGGUACCUCAAGAGGAAGCCACGGCUAACUCUGUG
rnacentral:rRNA from 1 species